rnacentral:lncRNA from 1 species
UUUUUUUUUUUUUCUUUUUUUUUUUUUUUUUUUGUACUGGUUGUGUAUAAAUUUAACCUUCCUGUUGUCCCAUCCCGUCUCUCCCCAAUUGUUGGCAGAGUCAGUAGCAUGUUAUGGGCAGUUAUUUAAUUAAUUUCUCUAACACCUACCCCUACACAUUCCUAUUGAGACAACGGUUAGAUAUACAUCUACAUACUAUAUAUAUAUUUGGCUAUGUGUUUGUAUAUAUAUAUAUGUUUAUGUAUAUGUGUGAUUCGGAUUAAAUAGACACUACAAUUUUUUUAUAUAUGUAAAAAGAAGAAACAGGAAAAAAUAGAAAAUUCUACAUCUUGAAUCUCUCUCCUUUUUAAUUUUAAUAUUUGUUAUCAUUUUAUUUAUUGGUGCUACUGUUUAUCUGUAAUAAUUGCGGGGAAAAAAGAUAUUAACACUACAUAUUGUGUCUAGUGAAUUUUUUCAAGAUAUUCCUUAGUACAUAUUUAUUUUUAAACAAAGAAAUUACAGAUAUAUCUUAAAACAACAACGACGACGACAAACAAACUUUUUUUUGUAUUAAAGAAUUUAAUUCUGACCUUGAUUUCCUUUGCUUUCUCCUUCUGCCUUGCAUCCUGGUUUUCUUCCACUGUGUAACAGUUUCUCCAGCGUUGCCUCUGGAGGCUACAGGGCAUCAGCAACCUAUCAGUUGGACUCUUGGAUUUGGGCCCAGAGCUUCCAAAAGCAUCUAGGUACCUAAAACCCAUUGAAAUGAAUGGGAAGUAGGCACCAGAACCCUUGUGUGGAGCUCAGCCCGAGUUCCCAGCUUGGUGAGAAGAGGGUGGUGUGACGGGCAGGACCAGGGGGACAGGACUCCUGGGUGCCUUCCCAGCCUGAUGCCAAGCAGUGUGGUGAUGGUCCCAACCCUGCCUCUCUCUUGUCAGGAGCCAAGUCCCAUGAGCUGGGUACUGUACAGGCAUGAGUAGAUGCAAUCCUGGUGGAAUUUACAAUCCAAGGUGAAAGUAAUGCUGUGAGCCUGCCCUUUCUGGUAAUGGACUUGGUGUUUGCAGUUGGUAAAGAAUCUGGCUUCUAUUUAGGAUGGACUCAAGUAGCUCAACAGGUGGAUCUGCAGUCACUACCUCAGCAGAGGGCAGAGCAGAGGAAAGAAGAUGAGUACCUGAGGACAUUUUGGUUCACUGUAUUCAGUAACAUCUUGCAGACUGCAGGAGUGAAGUGAGAAUGUGAGCCAUCUGGAUGUUUCUGCAUGAGGAACCCAAAGGAGUUUCUUCCCUUGUAUAUUCACCCCUGGCUUUUGUUCUGUGUGGAUCUAUGGGCUUGUGGCUGUUCAAGGUGAUGAAGACAGUAAGCCUAUUUUCAGGAGAUCUGCUCUGCUUGUUUGUGACCUGGAAAAUGUUUACAAGUCAUUAAAUUGGAAAACUUUAAACCCUCAGGUAAGUGCUUCUCCCCUGGGCUAAGCUGGAUGUGAAAUCUCAGCAUGAAGGGACCCAAGUCUCCUGUAUGGAUGAGACAGCAUGUUCCUGUCAGUCACAACACAUCAAACCCUCAUCAGCACAUCAAACCCAACACAUCAAAUUCUGUCCCAGCAAUGGCAAGCUGGGUUGGCUACUCCUGGUGCCUCUCUCCCUUCCUCUAAGGGCUCAGAAGAAGUAGGAUAUCUGCAGAGCAAGGUGACCUGGUAGCCACCUACUUCAUGAGACAGUAGCUGAAUGGCAUAUUUCAGAUGGGACAGCUCAUAGAAUUUGUGUGAAUGCAGCAGAGCCAAAGUAUCUGCCUCAAACAACUGCAGCAAGACCCUGCCCAAGCCAGCUCUGACAGGGGUUACCUAGGGCCCUGGAAGCAGUUCAGCUCUUUAUUCUCCAGGGUGGGUGUAACUGGGCUGUCAUCUCUUGUGAGGAACAUGGUCAUAGUUUGGUGUUGGAAGUGAGCUCAGGCUGGUUGGAGAGGCUCUGCAUGAUUGAGAACCCUGCCUUUGGAGAGGCUGGGAGAUAGGAGAGCAGUUGCCCCUCACCCUACCCAGAGUUUGCACCUGGGUCUCCUGUGCCAUGGCCCAAGGUGAGGCAGGGACGCAUGGAGAGAGGCCAGGUUUUCAGGCUGGCACUCUGAUCUACUCAUACAGCCUUUCACCAUGUGCAUGAGAACUUUCCCUGAAGGGCUUCUGGUCACAUCCAUGUUUGAUUGCUGGCUAAUUAAAAUGCUAUCUUCAGGCAGCCAGCUGAUGCAUUCCUUGUGCCUACUGCAUUUAUUCUGUGUGAUUCAGAGAGCGGAGGCACCGUGAAAGGCAGAAAAGGGUGCCCUGGGCAGACACAACAGAAAAUCCCACUGGCAAUGGAAUAAAGAGUGCUUUUGGUU